rnacentral:rRNA from 1 species
AUCGAUCGGUGCUAACUGAAAUCUAGGUGAACCUGCGGAAGGAUCAUUACCGAGUAUCGGGUGCUGUCGCGCCCCGCUCCCACCCUAUGUUUACCUAUAACCGUUGCUUUGGCGGGUCGGUGGGCCACCCACCGCCGGGCAGCGCCUGGAGAGCGCCCGCCAGAGGAUCAAACAAAACUCUUGUCAACCUGUCGCGCAUCUGAGCACAUGAGAAUAAGCAAAACUUUCAACAACGGAUCUCUUGGUUCUGGCAUCGAUGAAGAACGCAGCGAAAUGCGAUAAGUAAUGUGAAUUGCAGAAUUCAGUGAAUCAUCGAAUAUUUGAACGCACAUUGCGCCCCUCGGUACUCCGGGGGGCAUGCCUGUCCGAGCGUCAUUGAAACCCAUCAAGCUUGGCUUGGUCUUGGGCGCGGUCUUGGGUCCCGCCCGCAACACGUCGGCGGUGCCGGUUCGGCUCGGAGCGUAGUAAGACUCUCGCUCGGGGGCCGCGGCGGCGCCCGCCUAGAGAACACAUCUCAAGUUUGACCUCGGAUCAGGUAGGGAUACCCGCUGAACUUAAGCAUAUCAAUAAGCGGAGG